rnacentral:misc_RNA from 1 species
UGCUAUCGUGAGAAGCAAAUUCUAAAUAACAAUGUCAAUCUAGUUAUUUCAAAUCAUUAGUUUUUAAAGCUUUCUUAUAUAUUUGGAGUUUAGAUGAAUCUAAAUCCAUAUCACUUAAGAUACCCAAACAAAGUAUUUAGCCCAAAUCCAAAUCCAUUAGUCCAAAUCCAUCUAUCCAAACAUAGCCUUAGAUAAGAACUUAGCUGAUUUCAUCUAUGG